UACGUAGGUGGCAAGCGUUGUCCGGAUUUAUUGGGCUUAAAGGGUGCGUAGGCGGCUUUGUAAGUCAGUGGUGAAAUAUGGCAGCUUAACUGUCAAGGUGCCAUUGAUACUGCGGAGCUUGAGUACAGAUGAGGUAGGCGGAAUUGACGGUGUAGCGGUGAAAUGCUUAGAUAUCGUCAAGAACGCCUAUAGCGAAGGCAGCUUACUAGGCUGUAACUGACGCUGAGGCACGAAAGUGUGGGGAUCAAACAGG
rnacentral:rRNA from 1 species